rnacentral:rRNA from 1 species
UACGAAGGGGGCUAGCGUUGCUCGGAAUCACUGGGCGUAAAGGGUGCGUAGGCGGGCCUUUAAGUCAGGGGUGAAAUCCUGGAGCUCAACUCCAGAACUGCCUUUGAUACUGAGGAUCUUGAGUUCGGGAGAGGUGAGUGGAACUGCGAGUGUAGAGGUGAAAUUCGUAGAUAUUCGCAAGAACACCAGUGGCGAAGGCGGCUCACUGGCCCGAUACUGACGCUGAGGCACGAAAGCGUGGGGAGCGAACAGG